AAAAAAAGCUAUUUUUAAACGUACAGCUAGGGCAUGUUUGGUUCGCUUUUUUUUCACCUUGGGAUCGGAAUUGGAAUGGGUAAAUCCGUUUAUGGGUGUUUGGUACGCGAGAGUUCCAUUUCGAUUCCGAUUACUAAGUGGAAUGGAAAUCCCCCAAUCACCUCUUUUUCAAUCCGGUUUAGGAGGCCGGAUUGGAAGUUGAAUCAGGACGGAAUGGAUAUUUAUUCGGAUUAAAUUUAUUUUUUUAAUUUUUAAAUUAAAAUAUGAGUUAAAAUUUAAAAAUUAAAUUAUAUAAUUUUAAAUUUUAUUUUGAACUUAAAUUAAAAAUUAAAUUUUAAUCAAGUAUUUCGAAUCUAACUUAUGAAUUUGAAUUUAUUUUUUAAAAAAAAUAGAUUUAAAAUUUUUACAUUAUUUCAAAAUUUUGAUGUAAAUUUUUAAUAUUUAAUUUUAAAUUUGAAUUUAAAUUAAUAUAUUAUAAAGAUAAUAUUAGUAUAUUAAUUUGAUUAUAUUUUUUAUAUCCACCUCAACCAAACACCGACAAUGGGAAUAAUUUAUUCCGAUUCCGAUUCAGGUGAUGAACCAAACAGAAUUAGGUAAUAAGUCAUUCCGAUUCCGAUUCCAGCUUAUUUUGAUUACGAUUUCAAUUCCGAUUCCAACUUCGAACCAAACACGCCACUAGUGUUAUCUCUGUAAAAUUAUUAUUUUGCCAUCUAAAAAUACCUUUCUACCGUCACUAAUUUUUUUAUUUGUCUCUAAGUUAGGGACAGAAGAGGUAUUUUGAUUUUUUUUUUUUUUUUAACUGUGCUAGAAAUUUAAUCCGGAUUUAACCCGAUAUAACUUAGGGUACUAACACCAAAGAUAUAUAAGUAAAUCAAAAGUUUUUGAGGGGUGUAUAAAUAAUUAUCCCUAUAUUUUUUUUUAUCUAUUUUAUGGUUAAAAUAAAAGAAUAAAAAAAAGAUCAUUAAAAACAACAGAAGCUAUUCUAGAUAAUAUGGAAAUUUGCUAAUAAAGCUUUUGAUGCUAGAUUUCACUUUGGCCUCCUUACAAAGUAUUCUAGAAAGUAGAAAAUGAAAUGGCAUUUCAACUUUCCACAUAGACCCUGGAAUUUUUUUAUUAUUCUUUUUGGAAACAUUAGGGAUUUGCCAAACUUUUUGAAUUUUUUUUUUUUACCUUUUUUGAGAAAGAAAAAAAAAAGAAUGGUGACCCACAAACAUUUGUUCUUAAACCCAAAAAAAUUUUAAAAAAAAAAGAAAUUCAACAUUUCCUCUUAUGCCCACAAUAAUUUCUAUAGAAAACAAAUGUGUGGAGACCCCCCUCAACAAUAUUCUGUUUUCAACUUGGCCCUCUUAAGUUUAUUAUUUUCUUUUAAUCAACAAUUUUUAAAAUUUUAAUAUUUUGAGUGGAGUGAUUUUAGUCAAAUAAAUUAAGAAUUUUUUUAAAAGUGAUUACUGAUUCCUCCAAAUUUAAUAGUUUUAAUAAAGCUAUUAAAGCUAACAUAAAACAAAGCUAACUCAUUUAAAAACUAUAAAUUGAGAUCGGGGGCCAGUUUCAAAAUGUUCUAUAGUUUAGGGGUUGACAUGCAAAUUUUUAUCUUUAAGAUAAGAGGAGUGCUAGGCUUUAACUUUGCAUUUGCACUCUGAUAUCUUGUAGUUCAAAAACUUACACUUAAUUAUCUUAUAAUUUUAUUUUGAUUUCACUAUAAAGACCACUAAAUAUUUAGGAUAAUAAGCUGAAACAUUUUGCAAACCACGGGACGGUAAAAUAUAACACUUUGCAUUCUACAAUAUGUAUUUUACUAGUCCUUAGUUUUCAAAAGCAUCAUUUGUCUCUCCAGUUAAAUGGUAGAUUUUUAGGUGAUUAAAAAAAGAGAACUAUGUGACGGUGAAAUGUAAUUUUUUAAGCCAUAAGAUGUCAAAAUAAAAAUUCACUUAACCAUGACAAAUUUAUGUUCAUCUUUAUGAUAAUUAGCAUACAUUUUUCAUUUAGGCAAUAUUUAAUAAUGAUAUAUGUGAGAAAGUAGAUCUAAUGCCUCCAAAAAUUAACUUUGACUACAUUACAAAAAAAAAAAAGGAAAAGAGAAAUACUAGUUGUAUACUCAAAAUGUAGUGUAAAUUUUACACCUUUAUUUAAUGGCAAUAUUUUACACUUUGCCUUCGCUAUUUAUCUUUUUAAUAUUAAAAUUCUAAAAAGGUUUUUGAAUUCUAGCACGAAGGGGGCGUAAAACUAGCAUUUUUAAUAAAUAUAAUAUAGUUAGAGAAGUAUAUAAUUAGAAAUGUUGUAGUUACAUUUACAUUUCACUUGUUCAGUAGCAGAUGAUUAAAAGUAGUGUUGCAGCUAUGCAUAUUUUAUGUUAUUUACAAAGAAUGAUGAGAUUAUCCCCGAAAAGAAGAAAACAAAAACCAAAAAAAAUUCAUGUUUUAGUUGAGAGACGAGUCACAGGUAAAGUUAUCCAUUAAUUUGUAUAUAGUUAUUCUGCACAACUACUGCAUUUCAAAUUGCAUUCAACUCAGAUAUAGAUUAAAAUGUAGCAUAUGGGCCUUGAUCUACAAGAUCUAUUGUGACUGUGACACCCCAAUAAUCCCACAUCGGAUGGGAAUGGGGUUGUCAUUGGGUUUAUAAGAGACUUAUUAGACACUAGUAAUAAUAACUGGGCUUAAGCAUUUUGGGAUGUUGACUGGGCCCAACGAGUUAUUAUUGUUAGUGGGCUGGAUCGUUACAGUAACAUUUAACUGCCACUAUAGCAAAUCAAAAAAAAAAAAAGAGGAUCUGCUAAAUACAUUAUUAAAAAGAUAUUUUGUAGGAUCAGAUAUUUCAAUUUUAUUUCGUCAGCAAAACGGAAAGAAAUAUAUUCACAAAUUACUCAUUUUAGAAAAGUAUAUUUAAUAAUUCCAGAUAACAAAGUUUCCUGAGCUUCUGAUGCCAGUUUUUUCAGUACAAAAUAUUCUAGAAAGUAGAAACUUACAUGGCAUUUUCACUUUCCACAUAGACCAUGGAAUUUUUAUAUUAUUCCUUUUGGAAACAUUAGGGGUUGAGCCCACACUUUUUGAACUUUAACAUUUGUGCUUAAACCCACUAACACUUUUUAAUUACUCAAUUUGGCAAUUAAUUAUGAACCAUAUGAGAAGUUGUAGAUCCAAAGCUUUCAAUAAUCAACUUUGACUACUGCAAAUUAAAAAAAAAAAAAACAAUCAAUGAGGUAUUAGAAGCUCUUUUGAAUAGUCAAAUGAAAUAUAUUCUAUGUGAUCAAUAUGUUCCGAUAACUUUUGUGAUCGACAACGACAUUUCUCGUAGCGUGUCGCAACUGAUUACUCCUUUCCUUUUCUCUUUCUCUGUAUAUGUACAUUUCUAAUUAUGGAUAUUAGGAUCCUCAAAUGUCUCAAUCUCUAUACAUAUGUGGUGGGGGGUCAAAUUUUGUUAACAAACUAAUUUGCUAUAUAAUACAUGGGAAUUAAGAGUUUAAUAAGCUUUACUUCACUUUGCAAAUUAGUGAAGAGAUUGGCUAUGUGCAAAUGGACCUAGCUUUGACAAAUGUUAAUUAUAUAAUUUUUUGACUUCUUAAGAAGCUAACUAAGAUGUAUUCAACCUAAUGGUUUUCUCUUUUUUUCUUUUUUAUUUUUUUGGGAGAAUUAGGAGCGUAGUGUCACGGAACUGUUGAUUUUGCUUGCAAAGCCCAUGCAGCACUUGUUCUCUUGCUCGAAAAUGGACAAGCCUGUCUCAAUCUUGCUACUCUGAACCUCUACACCCUCAAAGACUAAGUACAAAAAAUUACAAAAAAAUGAGAGAGAGGAAUAGAAGUUCUACAAAAACUAAGUACACUAUUAGUUAGAAGAAAAAAUUAUAAAUACAUUUUCUCUACUCUCUCUCUCUUUUGGCCUUAGCCGUUCUUCCUAUUUAAGCCCUCUGGCUACAGUGAUGCAAGUGAACCAAGAGUUGCUCACGACCUUUGGGUUUCCACAAAACUGUGUCUUGACAUUUUAAUUCCUAUAGUCGCAAAAUGUUUCAUCUCCCACAGAAGCUUCUUGAACGUUGUCUCUUCGGUUGCCCACUUUUAGUUUCACAAAUAUUUAGAGCGUAGGCCAAAAUUUUUCUAAGCCCCUAACAUUUCUAGACUUUUUGAACAGCUUCUUUACUAUAAAAAACAGAGGCCAUAUAUAAGUGCGACGAACUUCCAACAUUAAACACAUGCUUCGAUUUUGGACAUUUACUUUUGCAUUAAAAAAAGAAAAAGAAGUGCUUCUUCAAAGUUUAAAUUGAUAGAAAAUCACGGUAUGUAAAAUAAAUAGAAAAUAAAUACAUACAAAAAAUCCAGGAUCAAAACAAGAAUAUAAAAUAACUCACAGAGCGCCAUAGAGAAGAGAUUUUUGAUUAAUCUUGCGGAAGCUGGAAGUCCGGCUACGAUCUAAAAGUCACGAACCGAACUUGGAUGAUUUGGUUUCUCCCCCUAUCUCAGGCACUCUCCUGUAUGGUGUGGAACCGAUGGUAAUUCUUCACCAGAAUGCGUAUGAGAAGGUGGCAGGACCAAUACCCCUUUAUAUAGAGCCCAAAUUGACUUCCCAUCAAAGUCUGAUUAGGAUUCUAUUUAAAUUUAAAGUAGAUGGGAUAGGGAUAAAAUAUACCAUAUCAAGUAGUUCUAUAUCUGUUAGGAUUGACCUUUAUCUAUAGAAAUCCAGAUUUGAAUAUAAUUAAUUGGGCCACAAUAUAUGGAAAUCCUAACAUAAAUAACUUCAAGCAAUUAAAUAAUAUUUCUGUAGAAGCUCUAGCUGGUAAGAUUUACAUACGGCUAUCUAUAAUAGUACUAGUAAAAAAUGUAGCUCCUUCUUCGACUAAAAAUAUUGUAUGAAGAAAACUUUUCGCACGACUAAAAAUAUUGUAUCGAAGAAAACUUUUCGCACGACACAUCAUUUAGUUUAUCUUAAUAUUUUUAUUUAGGGCUAAAUCUGAAGUUCACCAUCUUAAUAUGUACUUACAAGAUAGGUUAAAUUAAACUUUGAUUUUUGGAUUUUAAUCUAUUGUGGUCUCUAGCUCGAUUCUUGAAAAUUACUACACUCAAAUUCAAAUCAGUUGACUAAAUAUUAAUGUUAAGUUAUGCGGUGGUCAAUUACAACACUACGGCAUUACUCUUAUAUGAGCGGCGCAUCAAUAUUUUAUUUAACUGAACUAUAUUAUAAGACUUAAUUACAAUAAUUCAGCAAGUUUUAGUUAGAAAUUAUAUCAAACUAAAAUUUAAAGAUCCAAAUAUCAUGCGCGUGGUAAUCUGGGGACCAAAAAUAUAAUUUAAAGUGUAAGAUACCUCCGUAGGAAACCAACUUAAGUGGGAGAAUAUAGCGUGUGGAUUUGUUAUGAAGCUAAGGACAUGAUGCCCACUUAUAUUAUUAUUAUGAUUCUAAUCCCAUGUUCUUUUAAUCCUCAUGUGAUUGAGAAUAUAAUAUAUAUUUUUUCUUUGAGUUUCACAUGUUAUUAAGUUAAUGAUGUGAACACAAAGCAAAAGAUUCUUCACAGUUUGUAAUCAAGUCACACUCCUUAUAAGUUGUUUGAUUCCUCAAAAUAAUAUGAAAAAUAAUAAUAAUAAUAAUAAUAAUAAUAAGUUUUUCUUAGAAAAACACUUUUCAAGUUUUUCCUCAGUUUGAUUUUCAGAAAAACUAACUUUUGUAAAAAAAAAAAAAAGAUAAAAUCAUAUUUUUAUAGAAAAUUAAUGUUUUCGUUUUUCAGAAAAAAGAAGAACGAAUAUGCCGCACUUUCAUAAAAUUAAAAGUUCUUGAAAUUUUUUGAAACCAAAUGCGUAAAAAACUGUAAAAAAUUUCAUUCAAAACCUUUCUCGAAUAAUUCUUUUUUUCAUUUGUUUGGUUUCACAGAAAAGUAUGAGAAAUAUUUUUACAAGAAAAAAAUGUAUUCUUUGAAAAAUCUUCUUUAUGUUUCCAAAUUUUCACCUGUUUGGUUAAUUUCCAGAAAAAUUAAUUUUUUGGAAAACUUCUUUCCAAAUAUCAUGGAAAAAUAAUUUUUUUUCGUUUUCCUAAAAAGAAUUCUGAAAAACAAAAUCACUAAAAUGGCCAUGUAAUUUUAAAAAAAAAACUAGUUUUUUUUUUUUUUUAAAUCAAACAGACGAAAAACUGAAAAAAGAAAAUUUUUUGUGGAAAACUUUUUUCCAUGAAAUUUUUUUCUGAGCUUUUUCGAGGAGCCAAACAGCGACUUAGCUAUCAAUGGAUUCCUACAAUUGACAUUCUAAUUAAGUAAAUGAAAAGUGAUUAAAACUUAACACUGAAAGUGUAUACAAGUGGAUCAUCAGAAAAUGACCAUUCAAUGGUUGAAAAUUUUGAUUUUGCUACGUAACUUUUUAAAUAUUAUUCGGACUUACCUUUGAUAGUAAUUGCCUGCACCCAAUGCAUCCAGAUAUUUGUACACCAUAUCUUAAUUUUGUUAAAUGUAUUCCGCGCUAUUAUGCUUAGUUUGGUAUUGAGGUUCGCUAUUAGAUAAAAUGGAGUUGGAAAAGAAAUUUAUCCAUUUCAUUUUUCGAGGUCUCAAAAAAAGGGCAUGGAGGUGUAAAAAUAUGUAGGAAUAUACUUCUGCAUUCUCCGAUACGUGAGACCGCAGAAAAUAUAUCGUAAUCGACUUAUCGCGAUAUACGGAAUGCGAUAUUACGUACGGAAACAAACAAAAUAUUUUUCCAAUAUACUUUCUCACCACACAUAACGCAAUCUUCCCGCAAUCCCAAACGAAGUCUAAAUCUAAUUGCACGCUUUUUAACAAAAAGAAAAAUAAAGUAAAAUCAUACAGAUAAGGCUAUCUGACCUUUCAAAACUUUGAUAUUACUAUACGAUUUUUUAAUUUAUUUGAUUUGAUUCAAUCAACAAUAUUUUGACUUCAAAAAUUUAAGUUAAUUACUAACUUUAAUAAAUAUAUAAUUGCAAGAAUUGUAUGAAAUAUACUAACUAAAUGUGUAAAAAUAAACGACACAUUUAAAUUUUAAAGUUAAAAUGUCCGUUGGCCGACUCAAAUCAAGAAAAUUAAAAAAUUUAAAAAGGUCAGAUUAUCGUUGCAAAAUGAUUCUUAGUUCAAAUAAGUUCCGUAUGCUUUUAAUGAGAAAAGGACUACAACUAAUUGGAUGGUUGAGAUGGAACAUCAAAUAACAUGAUUGACCAAUAUAGACACGCUGCACGAAUGUACAAAUGCAUCAGAUGCGUGCAAUAGUUUUCUAUAGCUAAAUAAUAAGUAAAACCGAAGAAAAUAAGAUACUGGUUAGUAAAAUCAAAAUUAUAGUUGCAUACAUUUUUACGUGGGAAUGAUAAAUAUGAACAAAAGCUAUAAAAGAUAUAACUCGCUCCAAAUCGGCCCGAUCCACCAACUAAAUGGAGCGGAAGGCAGAAAAUCCUUUUCUUCUUUUGAUCCUCUCCGAUCCGUUAAGAAUCUGUCAAAAACUUACUUCUGUCGUGAUCCGUCUCAAGUGGAGUUAUAAAAUGGGGGCCAAAAUAGGAUUAAAAUUGAUCCAACCCGACCCGACAAGAAACGGUGCGGGCGGUGGGACACUCCUCACGCCCGGACCUGCUCCGUUUACAUCCCUAGUCUCAUUUCAUAUAUAGUUAGUUAAUUCGGAUUUGGUAAAAAUUUGGUAGGGUAUAAUACGUAUAAAAUUCGUUUUCUAAAUUUUAAAUUCGUUGAAAAAUUCGGCUUAAAAAAGGGGUUCGGUAUAAAAUAUAAAAUAUAAAAUAUAAGACAAUCUAUAUUUAAACAUAAAAAUUAUAAGUUUUUUAUUCAGAUUUUCAAUAAUUCGAAAAUAAUUCGCGAAUUAUUCGGCUGGCCUAAAAAUUUGCGAAUAAUUUUCUUUUUUUUAGAAAAAAUUCAUAAACGGACCGUUUAAUUCGGGUUUUCAAUAAUUUUCGAAUAAUUCGCGAAUUAACUAACAAAGAUUUCAUAUUGAUCUUUCUCAUGAUUUAAUUAAUAGUAGGUAAAUUUCAUAAUAGGUCCCCAAAUUCUUACAAAUCAAAUAAUAGAUUAAUUGUUCUUAAUUUACUGUUGAUUUUAUAAACUACUUAGUAGAACAUAAAUCACCUAACUUUUAUGCAUAAUAACCUCUUUAUAUAUUGUAAAUUAUAUUUUACUGAAUUAAAAUUUAAUUUGAACACAGUGAUCGAUAAAGAGAAAAAAAAAGAAGAUUAUAAGAUCAAUAAUAACUUUCUAAACCCAAUCUACUGUGGUGAGGCUCUGAAAAAGUGGCAAAUGUUUUGAGAAAAAGGACCAAAUUGAGGGAUCUAAGAAAGAUUAGGGACUUAAUUGAAACUCAUGCAAAGAUUAAGACCCUAAUUACAAAAAUUAAACGGUUAGGGACUCAAUUGAAAAUGUGUAAAAGAUUGGGGACCCACCAAGUAUUUUACCCUUUAAAUAGUCAUUGGUGCUUUUUACCCACACGGGGUUAAUAAUUUAUUAUACAGUCAUAAUCAAAUAUUUUAUUAUAGUGGUAAAAAGAGAAGCAGAUACACGACAAAAUAGCCAAAGAGAAAUAUUUUAAUUAUAAAUAUCGGUCGCAACCCACUGAGAAAUUAAAAAUUAAUAUUUUAUGAGAAUAUUUGAAAUUCAAACUGUGGAAAAGAAAAAACCACAAUUGAAUUCCUCCGUUGACAAUUUAAAAAAUUAAAAAAAAAAAAAACUUUGGAAUUAGAAUAAAUCGCAAAAGAAUAUUCUAUGCAAAGAUAAAGAAAACGACCACUGACCUAAAAUUUUUCAAUUAUAAAAAAGGCCAAAAUAAUAAAUCUAAUAAAAUAAAGGGAUCCAAGUAAAAAAAAUGAUUGGUUAAUCUGUAUAUAAAACUCAACAGCUAAUAGUUAAUUAAUUAAUAGAGUCAUUAUACUCGGCAAAAUUUUUAAUUUAAUUAUCUAGAAUAAAUUAAAUUAAAAAAAUCAAAAAUUAAAAAUCAAAAAAUAAAUAAAUAAAGAUGAGGGGUCAAUUUCAAAAUAUUCUAAGGUGAGGGGUUUAUAGUACAUUUUACGCGUUCACCUUUUUCUAGUACUAAUAACAGUUAAUAAAUAAAUAAAUAAAUAAUAAUUUCUCCUUAGUGGGUGGGGCCCACCCACGAGUCCCACCCAUAAACUACAGUACCGCCUCACACCGACACGUGAUCCCCAACAACCACGCAACACACAACACCUGACUGUCCAAUCAUUUGUCGCCACGUGGAAGGAGAUGCGAUCACGCACUUCGAGGAGCUCGUGCGUAGUAUCUAGAGAGGCCCUGGUGAACAUCCACGUGUAGGCGCGUCGUUACUCGAUCCCCGUAAAAAAUUAUUAAAAUUAUUAUUAUAUAUCUGUGGUGCUAUACGUACCCUUAAAUGCACCCAAAGAAAUUGUUUUUAUUUAUUUAUUUAUUUUCGUUUCAGUUUUUGAAAUGAAAAAAGUCUCAGUUAAAUUUAAAAUUAAAUAAAAAAGAUGAUACAUCAAUUUUGUACAUGUUUGUAAAUAAUUUAGUAUUUCGAGUGUAGAUAUUGAACAAAAUCAUCCUUUUAUAAUAUUUUACAAAUAAAUCAAAAGAAAAUGCUAAAUCAAUUGCUUAGUUCCCAUUUGAUCUUAUUAUUAUAACAGCGCAUCGCUACAUGAUAUAGUAUUAUUUAAAAUUAAUUUUUUAAUUACUGUAAUUGCACUUACUUAUAUAGUUCAUCAUAUUUCAGUGCAUCAGCUGAAAAUAUACAAUUAUAAUUACACAUAAUCAACCCUAAAAUAAGUUAUUGGAAUAUCCUAAUAGUAUAUCCUUCGUCUGUUUUUUUUUUCAAACCUAAAAUAAAUUACAUUGACAUUUAACCGCUUAUUUUUAAGGAUGCAAAUGAAUCUGGGUUGGUGGAACUUAUACCUCUAAUGCGGCAAUCAGAAAAUGAAGUAGAGGGUAAAAAACUCUCUCUUUUUUUGCCCCACCGAAUUAACUUAAAAAUCUGUCCAAAAUCUACUUUCGUUCCGAUCUGCUUUGACGGUAAAUGAGAGGAAAAACUAAAGAAAAAUCAACCCACUUCGAAUCCACUCCUGCUCGCUAAGAAAAGAAAGUGGAAAUUGGGAGACCCCUUCUCCUGUUUGCAUGCAUAUUUAGAGUAUUUCUUCUAUACUUUCAAAAGUACAGAAGCUUUGAUACUUGUAAGUUAUUUUCGAUUUUAGGACAUUUGGCGAUCGGCUCCGUUAGGCAUAAUCUACGCUAUUGGAAUUAUUUAGAAACCAAAUUUUAUAAUUUUUUAAUAUUAUUUACCACAUGAUCAAAAGGUCUAAAAAUUAUUAUUUUAACGGUCGAUGUGACAUAUUUUUAAGUUUAAUAGUGUAGAACAAUCUAAAUUACAUGAAGCUCAAUAGUAAGAUCAACACUUCUGAUUUAAAAUUUGAGUCUUUUAUCGCUAUCUUUUAUGAGAUUUUUAUUUUCAGCUCUUCAUGUUUAGACUGUUUGUUCACUAAAUAAAGUCAAAAAAUUAUAAAAUUUGGUUUCUAGAUGGUUCCAAUAGCGUAGAUCAUGUGUAAUAGAAUUGAUCACCAAAUUGAAUAUCUCAUCAUUGAAAAUAAUUUAUAAGUAUGAAGCCCUCAGUACUUUCGAAAGUAUAGGAGCGUAACUCGCAUAUUUAUUUUCCUACUUCCAAAUUAGGCAAUUACUUAAACGCCAAAUUAAAAUAAAUCAAAUAUUUAUAAUUUCAUAUAGGUCUCUACAAACAUAGUAAAUUAUAAAUGUAAUGAUAUUUUUGCCAUCUCAACUAUGCCUCUUCAAAAAUCUCAACUAUUAACUAAAGAGAGAUAAAAAGGUCAAUUCACCUCAUUAACUAAUCAGGGUUAAGUAUUUAACCUAUGAUUAAGUAAUUUUUCUAACGGAUUGUAACUGCAGGGUUAUAUUUGAAAAUAUUAGUACUCUUGCAUGAACAACUUAUAAAAAUUGAACUUUUAAAGAGAUAUUUCGUAAUUUACUAUAUUUAUAGGGACCUGUAUGCAGUUUAUCCUUAUUUAUCUAUUUAUUUAUU
rnacentral:lncRNA from 1 species